rnacentral:rRNA from 1 species
AUACGUAGGUGACAAGCGUUAUCCGGAUUUACUGGGCGUAAAGGGCGUGUAGGCGGUCUUGCAAGUCAGAAGUGAAAUUCCUGAGCUCAACUCGGGCGCUGCUUCUGAAACUGCAGGACUUGAGUGCUGGAGGGGAUAGCGGAAUUCCUAGUGGAGCGGUAAAAUGCGCAGAUAUUAGGAAGAACACCGGUGGCGAAGGCGGCUAUCUGGACAGUAACUGACGCUGAGGCGCGAAAGUGUGGGGAGCAAACAGGAUUAGAUACCCUGGUAGUCCACACUGUAAACGAUGAAUACUAGGUGUGCGGGGACUGACCCCCUGCGUGCCGGCGUUAACACAAUAAGUAUUCCACCUGGGGAGUACGAUCGCAAGGUUGAAACUCAAAUGAAUUGACGGGG